rnacentral:ncRNA from 1 species
UUUCCCUCAGAAUAGUUGGAGUACGUAAUGAAGCUGUUAUAUUCGGUAAAGCGAAUGAUUGGAGGAAUGUGGGACGAAACGUCUUCAACCUAUUCUCAAACUUUCAAUGAGUAUGACAUCUUGCUUGCUUGGAUGACACGUUGACAUUAAUGUGUGCUUCACGGGGGCCAUUUUUCAUAAACAAAACUGUCACGUUGACAAACGUUGAAUUAAUUUUAUGCAAUUGAAAACGAAAUUUCUUGCUAAAAUUUAAACUUAAAACAAUAAAUAGUGAUAUUUCUUUUAUUUGUA